UGGGGAAUAUUGCACAAUGGGCGCAAGCCUGAUGCAGCGACGCCGCGUGAGGGAUGACGGCCUUCGGGUUGUAAACCUCUUUCGCUAGGGACGAAGCGUAAGUGACGGUACCUGGAGAAGAAGCACCGGCCAACUACGUGCCAGCAGCCGCGGUAAUACGUAGGGUGCGAGCGUUGUCCGGAAUUACUGGGCGUAAAGAGCUCGUAGGCGGUUUGUCGCGUCGUCUGUGAAAUUCUGCAACUCAAUUGCAGGCGCGCAGGCGAUACGGGCAGACUUGAGUACUACAGGGNGGACUGGAAUUCCUGGUGUAGCGGUGAAAUGCGCAGAUAUCAGGAGGAACACCGGUGGCGAAGGCGGGUCUCUGGGUAGUAACUGACGCUGAGGAGCGAAAGCGUGGGGAGCGAACA
rnacentral:rRNA from 1 species